UUUUGAGUUUGAUCGUGGCUCAGAUUGAACGCUUGCGGCAGGCUUAACACAUGCAAGUCGAGCGGUAGCACAGGGGAGCUUGCUCCCUGGGUGACGAGCGGCGGACGGGUGAGUAAUGUCUGGGAAACUGCCUGAUGGAGGGGGAUAACUACUGGAAACGGUAGCUAAUACCGCAUAACGUCGCAAGACCAAAGAGGGGGACCUUCGGGCCUCUUGCCAUCAGAUGUGCCCAGAUGGGAUUAGCUAGUAGGUGGGGUAAUGGCUCACCUAGGCGACGAUCCCUAGCUGGUCUGAGAGGAUGACCAGCCACACUGGAACUGAGACACGGUCCAGACUCCUACGGGAGGCAGCAGUGGGGAAUAUUGCACAAUGGGCGCAAGCCUGAUGCAGCCAUGCCGCGUGUGUGAAGAAGGCCUUCGGGUUGUAAAGCACUUUCAGCGAGGAGGAAGGUGGUGAGCUUAAUACGCCUCAUCAAUUGACGUUACUCGCAGAAGAAGCACCGGCUAACUCCGUGCCAGCCGCCGCAGUAACACAAAA
rnacentral:rRNA from 1 species